rnacentral:miRNA from 8 species
CGCAAUUCUUCAAAAUCUUAGC